AGUGGUGCAGAAAAUCUGACAUCUCGGUGCAUCAUCCAGUCCGUGCUGGAUGGCGUUUAUUCCUGCUUCAAGCAAAGAGUAUUUCCAGUGCUCUGACACCUCAAACAGCUACCACAGGACAGCCCUGCAAAAAAGCAGCAUCAGUAACCAAGGCAGCAGAGCACGAAUGCGGCGAGAGGCGGCUGUUUGCGCAUCUCCCGACACCACUCCCAGGUAGCUUUCCGUGCCGAGCGCCAGCCCUGCCCAGCCCACGCUCGCCUGGGAAAGAGGCAAACCUCUUCUCGUGGUCUCAGCUGCCAGCCAACAGCCCUGCCGCGGUCGGACAGACRACUUCAGUUCACCUCACAGUUGGCCUCCCUGCCGAACCUGUUGGCCUUCAGUCAGCAAGGCAAGAGCCUGUUUGGACCAGCUCUGAACCGCUCCAGCGUUCACCUACGUGACACACUGCAGAGGCAGAGCCAAACAACAGCCAGGGCCAGAUACUCUCUUUUAGAAAGGGAAGGAAAUUUCCAUCUGGGGAAAAGCACAGCUGCAGGAAGGAGGGGGAGGCCGAGUGGCUCUGAUGAUGGAUGUUGAAGCAGUGUCUCUCCCUAAUCAGUUAUCCCCCCAUGAGCCCAGGCCCACGGAGCCUGCUAACAGCUGCUCCGACCUCUCCUUCCCUGUUUCUCACAGCAGGUUGCUGCAGCUCUGCCCCUUCUCUGUGUUUGGGCCAGUACUUCCCAGUAAGGGGCUAAGCAAUACCUGGGGAGCGGCAGGCAGCACAGGUCCGUAACGCCAGCACCACAAAACGUUCCCGCCCGGGCACCGAUAUGGGCUGCUAAGGCAGGAGUAGGCCCUGCGCGAGCGCGGGAGGGCGCCUGCACGCCUUCCCUCAGCAGUAAAGGCACUUUGCAGGCAGGCUCCGUACGCGUCGCGAGCRCGAGCCAAACUUCCAAGGAGAAGGGCUGUCUGCAGCUGGGGGAGGCAGGAUAUGGCUUUUAGCUGACUGCUGGAGUGGCUUCCGCCCCGCCGUGUCGGCUGGGGCUGGCUCAGGAAGGGCAGGGGGUUCCCUGGGGGGGGGGGGGGGGGGGGGGGGGGGGGGGGGGGGGGUGAGCGAUG
rnacentral:lncRNA from 1 species